rnacentral:misc_RNA from 1 species
UAGCUCCUUUACGACGCUAUGUAUAUAAAUAUAUCUGUAUCUAUUCAGUUCGUGAAAUAUCUAACACGCAGUAAAUCACAGAAAGAAGGUUCGAUCGUUAUAAAAUCAAAACUGCAGCUUGGGGAAAAUUGGACGACAUUGCGAAAUUGUUUUCCUCGCCUUCUUCAACAGCACUGGUGAUUAGACUAUAUCGACUAUUUCGAUUUCUAACAACAAUCAUGGCUACUGCUUCUGCGUGUUCUACACAUAACGGAGAGCUUAUUUUCUUUGUGAAUGGGGCACAAGUUGUGGAAUCAAAACCAGAUCCACUAAUGCCACUCGUGGAAUUCUUACGGACAAAAUUACAUUUGACGGGAACCAAGGUGGGGUGUGGUGAAGGAGGGUGCGGGGCCUGCACCGUCAUGAUAUCCAGGUAUAACAUGAACACUGACACGGUAGUUCACUACUCCAUCAACUCGUGCCUGGCGCCACUCGCAGCCAUGCACGGUCUGGCCGUUACUACAGUGGAAGGCGUUGGCAGUACGAAGACUAAAGUACAUCCAGUGCAGGAGCGGAUCGUCAAGGCCCAUGGGACACAGUGCGGCUUCUGUACCCCGGGUAUCGUUAUGUCCAUGUAUACCCUGCUGAGGAACGAACCGCUGCCGAGCCUGGAGCAACUCAGCACUACAUUUGACGGAAAUCUUUGUCGCUGCACAGGAUACAGACCAAUCCUUGACGGUUACAAAACAUUUACGAAGGAAUACUGUGAGAUGGGUGGAAAAUGUAGAAAGAUCAAACGGAGAAAGCCUAGCUAUAGACCCAGUAUCUGUAAUCAGAGUAUUGGUGAUAUAGAAGAUCUGGUGCCAUAUGACCCCGCUGACGAACCAAAGUUUCCACUUGACCUUAAGGUAAACCACGAGAAAUAUCACAAGACAAGUCUGACGUUUCGCACGGAUCAUGUGACAUGGUUUAGACCAACCACUCUGGACGAACUUCUUGAUCUAAAAUCCACUUUUCCACAAGCAAGACUUGUGAAUGGAAACACAGAAAUUGCCAUAGAAAUGCGAUUUAAGAAGAUGAAAUAUGAUGUGAUGAUUGCGACAACUCAUAUACCAGAUCUGAAGACAUUGGAAAGAAAUAAAUCUGGCAUAACCAUAGGAGCAUCAAUAACUCUCUCCAGACUGGAUACAUUCCUUAAACAGGAAUGUGGGCAGAUGGCAGAAGAAGAAACUCGAGUAUAUUCUGCCGUGGUCGACAUGUUGCAGUGGUUUGGUGGAAAACAAGUGCGAAAUGUUGCAGUUGUUGCUGGUAACAUUAUGACUGCGAGUCCUAUUUCCGACCUAAACCCAAUUUUCCUCGCUUCCGGUUCAGUAUUAGACGUAGUAUCAAGAGAACGAGGAAGACGCAAAAUAAGGAUGGACAACACUUUUUUUAAAGGAUAUCGGCGAACUGAGGUUAAACCAGAUGAAAUCCUUCUGUCUGUCACUCUACCAGCAACACACAAGAACGAAUAUUUCUCGGCGUUUAAGCAGGCCAACCGGCGUGACGACGACAUUGCUGUAGCCAAUGCUGCAAUGAAGGUCGUGUUUCACGACGACACCAACAUCAUCAAAGACAUGGCACUGGCAUUUGGUGGGAUGGCGCCAGUCACUGUCAUGGCAACCAACACCACAGAAAAACUCCGUGGCAGUACCUGGGAUAGUGACCUUGUCAGUACAGCGUGCUCGCUCCUCGCUGACGAUCUUCCGCUAACACCAGACGCACCUGGGGGAAUGGUGCAGUUCAGAAAAACGCUUACUCUGAGCUUCUUCUUCAAGUUUUACUUGCGAGUGAAAUCAAAACUGACAAUUACACUGGGUGUGGAGGACAACACAGCGCCGACUGACGAGAGCGCCACACAGCAGUUCGUGGCCAACAGGAAGUGGAAGAGCAGUCAGGUGUACGAAGAGGUCGAAGUCGGACAGCCAAUCACCGAUGCUGUAGGCAGACCUCUCGUGCACAAAACAGCCUAUCAGCAAGCUACAGGGGAGGCGUGCUUUGUGGAUGAUAUUACCCCUGUGGAAGGUGAAUUAUUCCUGUCUCUGGUUUUGAGCAGCAAGACUCACGCCAACAUCAUCAACAUGGACGCCUCGGAGGCGCUGAGCAUCGCAGGUGUUGUGGACUUCAUUAGCGUAAAGGACGUACCCGGUCAGAACGUCCUACAUGGAAUUGAUGAACACAUAUUCGCCACGGACAAAGUGACAUGUCAAGGGCAGGUUGUCGGUGCGAUUGUUGCCACAUCUCACACCCUGGCGAAAAAAGCAGCGCAGAUUGUUAGGAUAGACUACGAAGAACUGGAGAGUGUUGUUACUAUAAAGGACUCCAUUGCAAAAGAGUCGUUUUACAAGUUUUCGCCUGUCCUGCAGCACGGCGACGUGGAGGAGGGGUUCCGCCAAUCAGACCAUGUAAUCUGCGGGGAGGUGAGCACGGGGGCCCAGGAGCACUUCUACAUGGAGACCCAGACAGCGCUGGCCGUCCCAAGGGAGGAGGGCGAGAUGGAGCUGUUUGUGUCCUCACAGAAUCCCACAGAAGUACAGGGAGUUGUGGCUGAGGCACUUAACAUCCAAGCCAACAAGAUUACAGUUCGCGUCAAAAGAUUAGGUGGUGGAUUUGGCGGAAAGGAAACGAGACCCAAACUGAUUGCAUGUCCUACAGCUAUAGCGGCAGCCAAACUUAUGAAACGUGUGAGAUGUACGCUAGAACGAGAAGAAGAUAUGGUUUCUAUGGGAACUAGGCAUCCAUUUCUUGGAAAAUACAAAAUUGGGUUCACGAACCAGGGAAAGGUUAUGUCGUUGGAGUUGGACCUAUACAGUAACUGUGGAAACUCUCUCGAUGUAUCGCCGGGGGUGAUGGAGAGAGCCCUGUGGCAUGCAGACAACUCUUACAGAGUUCCCAAUUUUGUCAUCCGCGGUUACUUGUGUAAGACGAACCGGACAUCAUGCACAGCAUUCCGUGGUUUUGGCGCUCCCCAGGCGAUGUUCGUUGCCGAAACAUGGAUAACGGAUAUCGCCUACUUCCUAAACAUUGUACCAGAACAGGUACGACAGACGAAUCUGUACAAGAACGGCGAUCCGAUGCCCUUCGGCAUGCAGUGUGACAAGGGGAACAUCCAGCACUGCUGGGAGGAGUGUCUCGACACGGCGGACCUCGACACUCGGCGACAACAAGUGAAACAGUUCAACAGAGAAAACCGAUGGAAAAAGAAAGGAAUUUCUGUAACACCUGUAACAUAUGGCAUUGCGUUUGGAUUGUGGGAACUCAAUCAGUCUGGUGCACUAGUCCAUAUAUACAGGGAUGGUUCUGUGUUGAUCGCCCACGGCGGGACUGAAAUGGGUCAGGGACUUCACACCAAGAUGAUACAGGUGGCAAGUCGAGCGCUAAAACUACCCACAACGAAAAUUCACAUCAGCGAAACCAACACGACUACAGUUCCCAACACCUCCCCAUCUGCCGCCAGCUCGUGUUCAGACCUCAACGGCAUGGCUAUAGUGGAGGCCUGUGAGAAGUUGUUGUCGAGACUGGAUCCAGUGAUCCAGGCUAACCCAGAUAAGACUUGGGAGGAAUGGAUUCGCGCUGCUUAUGAAGCACGGAUAUCUUUGUCAGCGACAGGUUUCUACAAAGUGGACAAUCUACACUUCGACUGGAAAACGUCUACUGGUAACCCAUUCAGCUACCUGUGUUUUGGUGCUGCUUGUACUGAGGUGCAGAUAGACUGCCUUACGGGAGACCACGAGAUUUUGCAGACAGACAUCGUAAUGGAUGUUGGUAGAAGUCUGAACCCAGCGCUUGACAUUGGACAGAUCGAGGGAGCAUUCAUGCAGGGCUAUGGUAUGAUGGUUCUUGAGCAUUACAAGGUGUCACCGGAUGGUACUCUGCUGACCAGGGGACCUGGUACAUACAAGCUCCCAAGCUUUGGAAAUAUUCCAACCAGAUUCAAUGUGUCUUUACUCAAAGGCAGCUCAAAUAAACGAGCUGUUUACUCAUCAAAGGCAAUAGGCGAACCCCCUUUGUUUCUGGCCUCCUCUGCAUUCUUUGCAAUUGUGGAUGCAAUAAAAUCAGCACGAGAGGAUGCUGGGUGUUCAGCACCACUCCGACUCAACAGUCCGGCUACAGCGGCAGAUAUCAGGAUGGCGUGUACAGACAGGUUCACUCAGCAGUUUCCAUUGCCGCCUGAAGGGAGUUUCAAGCCCUGGUUUACCGUACUCUAAUUUAUGUUUCUAUUGUGACCAGAAAUGUUGUCAACUGUUCGUGUUUUUGAAGAUCUCAUGCUCCUCAGAAGGGAGGUGUAGUUUUGGUUUACCAUACUAUAAUUUGAGUUUAUUUUAUCACCAGAAGGGACGUGAAACCUUGGAUAACCAAGCCGUUGUUUCAGUGACAGCUGGUGGAAUAACAAUAUUACAGUAGCAGUUGAUGGGGCAACAAUACCACAGUUACAGUUGCAAGGGGUCCAACCUAAACCGUAUGACACGUGCUUGAACUUCGUAUACCACUACCAAAAUGGCGGAUAAAGCUCGCUUCGAUACACGACGUAAUGUGGAGUCUUGAUACCUAGAAGAUCCAGUUCUGGCUGUGUAAUCGUCGUACCCCAGACUUUACAAAUUGCACAAAUAAAUGUUUCCUCAAUCCAUAUAAGAAAGCAUCUUCCAUAGCAGAUAUCAUCACAGAAGAAAGGAGAAAAGCGAUUUAGGAAGACGUUGUCAUUCGCAUCUCAGAGUGUAAAUAACAGUGAUGAUAAUCAUACAUUUCAAGUGUUAGAUGAACCGUCCCUUGACGCAAACAUGUAUACUGAUAAUAUAACAGAAACAAUGUCACUCUUCAGAAGCAGUGUUCAAAAUGGCUUUUGUUCCACAAAAACCCCAAAACAAAACAUUUCCUAUGUAUUAUUUAAAGAUACGCUAAAAUGGCACUGUCACGGUAAUUCAUCCUGCAUGAGGUAUUCUGACGCCAACAAGGACUUGUUUUGGACAGGAACCCUUUUUGUUUUUUGGAGGUCAGUUUAUCAGAUUGAUGAGAGGGUUUUCUCGCCGGGAUAUAUCCUGGACCACCUCAAGGUAGAUGAAGGAAAAAUACUUCCUUCAUUAUGACUUGGAAACAAGGACAAAUGCUCAUGUGUUCAAAUGUUACAUGCAAUUAAAAUGUACACAUAAACUAAGU